UACCUUCAUCCAGGUGGUGUCACAGAAGGCUGAAUGGGAAGCCAGGACACUGGGAUGUCCACCCAACCUGGGAGAGGAAAAGGCCUCCUCCCCUCCUUGCUGGGGUGUCAAGAGGAGGCCUAGUGCCAAGCUGGAACUUUCACCAUCACCCAGCAAUAAUAAGUCAGAGCAUCAGUGGAAGCUACGGAGCAAUAGUAAUGAGGCACUCCUGCCGCAUCCCAGAGGGGUAUCAGCUGACGCCGUAAAUAAUCUGGACUUCCACCCGCCACCCAACCGUAAUGAGGCAGCACUCUCCUUCCCCAACCAGCGCACUGGCAGAGGAGUCUUCCUAAAACAGAAAAUUUCAUUAAGAUCCAGAAUCUCAUAAUACCCAAAACUUCCAGGUUUCAAUCAAAACCCAUUCAUCAUUCCAGGAACCAGGAAAGUCUCCACAUGAAGGAGAAAAGACAAUCAACCAACGUCAACACCAAGAUGACAGAUAAAUUAGAAUCAUCCGACAAGGAUUUUAAAGCAGCCUUCAUAAAAAUACUUCAACAAGCAAUUACAAAUAUGCCUGAAACAAAUGAAAAAAACACAAAGUCUCAGCAAAGAAAUAGAAGAUAUAAAAAUUGUAACAUGCAGGCUGCACCCCAUACUAACCGAAUUAAAAUCGCUGAGAGUACCCAGCCUUCGGUAAUUUUUUUUAACUCCCGAGUGAUUCCAAUGAGUAGCCAAGUUUGCCAGCCAGUGCUCCAACUCCAUUAUUCUUACCAGAAAACACAGCAAAGACACAGAUCCAGGCCCCAUGUGACUUCAACAAGCCUGGGUUUCUGUAUUUGUAUUAGUUUCCAGGUGAUUCUGAUAGAUGACAAAGUUUGAGAAGAGCUGCAUUAUCCAAUCAAAGGAAUUUGCCAGUGAUUUCCCUCACUUGAGGAUGCUGCAAAAUUCUUGACCUGAAGGAGGAAAGAGCUGCAUUUAAGUGACCUUGAAGCAACAGGUAAAGUUUCAAUAGUACUGAAAAAAAAAAGUUUCAAUCAUACUUUGGACAUGGGUGAGCAGGAUAUAAUGUGUUUAACUCAGGCUGCCAAAUCUAAGCAGAGAAAAUCCACACACAUUGAGGGCCAGUUUGAAAAUGUAGUUACAGUAAAGAUUAUGUGUGUUUACAGGAAAGAGCAUGGGAAUGAGAUAAUAUAACUGGUCCUCAGAAAUGGAGCUGGGAAAAGCAAGGAAGAGGUGUGGAAGUUGACAGGAAGAAGAGCUGCACUGAGGGGGAGUGGAAUGCCCCACCACCGUUAGACAGGAAGGGCAUAGGCGAGAGCCCAAAGAGAACAUUCUCCAGGAAGGAAGGGCCUCCCCAAGCUCCUCUCCUGCCAGGCCUCCCGCUCUCCCACUUACUCACUAUCGCCUCAUCCCCCUAUCUAGAGAUCAUCAACACGCCCCACCAGAGGGGUCUUCUCAGGUGGCCUGUUGCCCAUUGGCCCACCGCAGCAGACCAGGCUCUGGUCACAGGCAUAACCUUGACAGGAGGGGCUAAGACCACCCCCUUUAAUGGACCAUUUGCCCAUUCAAUCCAACCAAGGAAGAUGUGCCUCAAUUUCCUCAUCAGCAAAAUGGGAACAAAAACACCUACCCUCACAGGGCCACUGUGAAGAUUAAAUUAGUUAACAUGUAAAAUGCUGAACACAACGCAUAGACCAUAGACUGCGGUGGGCACUUGAUACACAUUAGCUCCUGGUGUUUUGAAAGACACACAGCACAGUGGUUAAGAGUAGAUGUCCCAAGCCAAAAUGCCUGGCUUUGACUCAGCAAAUCUACCGCUUACUAAAUGUGGACUGUAAGCAAGUUACUAUGCCUCAGUUUCCCCAUCUGUAAAACUAGGAUAGUGAGAGUACCUUAAUUCACCCGGCUUUUGGGAGGACUAAUCACGUAAGAGAAAGAGCCUGGCAUAGUGCCUGGAACAUAGUAAGUGCUUUUUAAAUAAUAGCGAUUAUUCUGUUAGCUUUCUGUGAUGUGGAUGGCACGAGGCAGGUACGUGGGGAGUCCCCUUGGCCCUUGAGAAGCUUGUAGCCUAGAUCACGGACAAGAAAUGCACACGCAGGACGAGCAGGAAGAGCAGCACAGAAUACGGGACACACGUUAAUUCUGCAAGCGUGCAAAUAGCAUUUCUCUCUAAGGUGCUCACGCACAGGCUAACGGAGCUCAGAAUGUUCCGAAUACAGGGUGCACCGGGUGGCAAGUGCCCUCUUCUAGGCCACCCCUACGUUGGGAGUCCCAGGUCUCAUUCAACUCUCAAGGUUGAUCAUUUCAACAGUUCUCCUGGAAAGCACUGUAGCUUCAAGAAUAAACGGGGUUAGCCACCGUCCAUUCUCAUGGAUGGACCAAAAGGGUAUAAGACUCACAAGUCUCGUUAAAGUGCUACAGAAAAUCAACCGGAUCACACACAGGAGCUAGAGGAGCAGGCAUUCUACAGGAUGUCAACACUUUGGGCUCAGAACUCCCUGGAAGGACCAUUUUAAGUAACUUUUAAAGCCAGCGGCUCCAGUGCUUGAAAGGAAACACGAUGCUGAAUAUAAAAAUUGAAAAGGGAAAUGUAAGCAUCACAAGGUAUUAAUUAAUCCCAUGAUGCAAGAUUUCUGCUGCUUAGAUUACCUCUGCUUCAAGAAUUAUUUAUCCAAGAAAUUCAGAGAACGACAGGGAAGACAGACAACAUACUGUACUUAACAAGAUUCUGUGAUUUUUAAUCCUAACGAGGAUUAAAGGGCUGGAACAAAUGUGAUGGGGGCAGGCACCAGAAGCUAGUUAACCCCUUUUUAUUCCUUCCCAACAAGGCUGACAGCUAUUUUAAGCCCACAAAGUAGUCACGCUGUCUGAUUUGCAACUUUGGGAAUCAGACAGCUAGAUUUUUUUAAGCAGGCAUGUAAAAUGAAGAUAAUACACUACUGGGCCUCUGAUUUAUAAAAGAACAGAGCGUACGACAAUUCCAGAGAUUAAAACCAUGCACAGAUGAAACAAAUUGCAAUUUGUAAGACUAAAUAACAACAAUAAGAACAGCAACGGACUCUGUGCCAGGCACUGUGCUCAGCAUUUGCAAAUAUCACUCGUUUACUCCCUCUCAUUAACCCUAAGAGGUAUGUGAUACUGGAUUUCCUCCUUUUACAGAUGAGGAUACUAAACGAGGGAUGUUAAGUAACUGGCACAAGGUCACACAGCAAGUGCGAGACAGAGCCGGGAUUCGAACCCAAACACAGUUGGCCUCCUGAAUCCUUGCUGUUACGCUGCCAACCAAAUUCAUGUCCUAAAAACUAUAAAAUAGCAAAUUAAAGGAAAUAAAACAAUGAAUGGGGGAAAGGCAUCAAUUCAUUAACCAGAACACAACUGGUUGAAAAUGUUUUUCACUAAUGACCAUUACCUACUCCCAAAAUUGGCCAAAGGUUCUAUAAUCAAAGAUUCCAACUCUAUUGCACGUCCAUCACUGAAACCCUAUUUAAUUCAGGGAAAGUGCUUGCUCAACACUUCCUUUGGAAGGAAGUGGCUCUCUCUGAGGUAGGGUGGGGAUACCUCCUGGGAUACCUGGAGAGUCCCUCAAGUCACCGGGGACUGAGAGUUGCAGGCCUAAGCAUGAGAAAGGGUCGGGAGGAGAUGGAGCCAAAUGAGGCAUCCCCCUCUUAGGUGACAUAGAGGGCCCUGGCAGUCCGUGUAGGGAGCACCUUAGAAAUAACGUUCAUUCAUUCAAAAUACAUUUUCCAUAUGCACUCAGCACUACAGAAGACACAGGGGCAAAGGGACAGGGACCCUGACAGGGACAGUGGGGGGUGAAAAUCAGACAGGAGCAAGCAGCUUAAUCCAUAGCAGGGUCUGGUCAGUCCCUUUGAUGGAGGAGGGACUGGUAGCACCCACUUCACUGCGUGACAUGAGGACUGGGUCUGAGAGACGGGUGGGAAAUCACAGGAUGGGUUUAGGGAAUGGUGAAUACUCCGGCUGGGUUGAAGCAUAGGGCAAUGAAAGGGAAUUAUUCAAAAAACAGAGAGCCCUGAACAUCAUGCUAAGAAUUUUGAAUCUAAUAUAGUAGGCUUAGCUUUUGAAUUGGAGGAUAACGUAAUUACAUUUCAGGAAAAUUAACAGAGCAAAAGUUUAUAGGAUACUGAAACAGUAUGGUGAGAGGUGGUGAGCAUCUAAACUAGCCAGAGGUGGGAAGAGAUGGGACAGGCAGGAUGCAUGGAUGGAUGUCACUGAGAAAAUUCAACUGACUUGAUGUGGGGGUAUGGGAGAGCAGAGCCCGCCACCAUAGGUACUCAGUUAACAGCUAAUGAGUCUGCUGUUGUAUGACCAGAUUCAAGCACUGCUCCAAAAUGUUAGGCCUGGGUGCCUGAGAGGAUGGUGGGGUUGUUAAAAGAAGUAUGAAGUCAGCAGAGAGAUUUGAUUUCAAGCUUGUUGAGAGAUCGAGUCAGCAACGAGUUCGUUGGGGUAGAGAGAGCCAGAAGGAAGCUAGAAAUGAAGAUCCGGAGUCUGGACUGGAGCCAGAGACCCAGGAGCCAACCUGCAUAACAGAAGAGGUGGGAGGGGAGCACUGGAGCACUCCCGUGAGAGGUCAAAGGGAGGGGAAAGAACACUCAGCACAGGAGGAGGAGGUGCCACCAGAGGGGCUGGCCACGGCCACGGCCAAGGGAGAGCCCCCACAGAGAGCCAAACGAGGCCUUCCAAGAAGGACAAGGACAGGAGGCUCAGGAAGAAAAAUGAAAAAGGAUGAGGACAGAGAAGGGUAACAGAACAACUUCUAUAUGGUAGCCAGGAUAGAAGUCAGAAGGACACGGCCAGGGACUGAAUGAGUACUGAGCAACUGCGGAGAACAGACCACGGUGACAGGAAGAGGACAACACGUGAAAGAAAAAGGUGGAGAGAAGAGUUAUCACGUAGGGAAGGCCAAGGCAUAUUCCCGGGAAGAGAGGAGUGAGCUGGUGGGGAGGAGGAUGGAACAAUGCAAAGGUGGGGGUGGGGAGCAAUGGGGGUAGUGAAUCAAGACUCAGGAGAGGCCAGCUAGCAGGGGAUGGAGGGCAGAUGGGUCUUAAAAAGAGAGAGAGAAAAAGAAAAAAAGUUAAUCGGACUUCAUCAUAAUUAAAAACUUUUGCGUUUCAAAGGACAAUAUCAAGAAAGUAAAAAGACCACCCACAGAAUAGGUGAAAAUAGUUGCAAAUCUACAAAAGGGACUUGAAUGCAGAAUAUAUAAAGAGCUCUUACAACUCAGUGACAAUUAAAAAAAGAAGACAAUCCAAUUUAAAAAUGGGCAAAGGAUCUGAACAGACGUUUCUCCAAAGAAGAUAGACAAAUGGCCAAUAAACACAUGAAAAGAUGUUCUAUUAUGAUUAUUCGCCAGGGAAAUGCAAAUCAAAACCACAGUGAAAUGACUUCACACCCACUGGGAUGACUACAAUCGAAAGGCCAGAUAACAAGUGUCCAUGAGGACGGGGAGAAAUCAGAAUCCUAAUACAUCGCUAGUGGACAAGUAAAAUGGUGCAGCCACACUGGAAAACAAUCUGGCAGUUCCACAAUGGUUAAAUAUAGUUACCAUAGGAUCCAGCAAUAUCACUGCUGACUAGCUACCCAUAACAAAUCUAAGCAUUUAUCACACAAAAAACUUUUACAUGAAGGUUUAUACGCAGCAUUAUUCACAAUAGCUAAAAAACAGAAACAACCUUAAUGUUCAUCGACUGAUGAAUGGAUAAACAAAAUGUGUUAUAUCGAUACAAUGGAACACGACCACAAAAAGGGAUGAAGUCCUGCUACAUGCUACAACACGGCUGAACAUUUAAAACGUUAUGCUAAGUGAAAGAAGCUAGUCACAAAAAAACUCACACACUACAUGAUUCCAUUCAUAAGAAAUGUCCAGAACAAGCAAAUCUAGAGACCGAAAGUAGAUUGUGGUUGCUUAGGGCUGGGAUGAUGGGGAGAUAAGGGGUGAUAGCUAAAGGGUAUAGGGUUUCUUUUUGAGGUGAUGAAAAUGUUCCAAAAUUGACUGUGGUGAUGGUUGCACAUGUAUAUGAAUGUACUAAAAAGUACUUAAUUGUACAUUUUAAAUUAGUGAACUGUAUGGUACGUGAAUUAUAUCUCAAUAGUUAUUAGGAAGAAGGCAGGGGAGGGAGGAAGGAAGAAAGUCCUUUUUCCAAAAAUAGGAAGGAAGAAGAAAAGUAGCAGAGACCAAGUUUGCAGUGUAGGGCAGGAAAGUGGAAGGGACAGACAGGGUCAUGGGCAUGGCCCAUGCUGUUUAGGGGGCAGGAUGAGGACAACAAAAAGGUCACGGGGGUGCUAAGGGCAGCCUCAAGGCAAUGUAAGUAUGAGGAGGCAGGUAAAAUAGAGAAAGCAUUCUGAGACUUUGACUUCUUAGAAAUAGCAGCAUUAUGAGUAAGCAAUAAUAAACAAUAAGUCUGAUUAGGGUCUUGGACAUAGAUGACAGGCAAACGUCAGUAUUACACGUGACUGUGUGAUUUUGACCAUUAAAUCAAGUGCGACCUUUCGGGUAAAGGAGAUGUGACUGAAAGCCAUAAAACCAUGAAAUGUACCACUAAGGGAGAAAUAGACUUGCCCAUCAAAUCCCAAAACAUGGGCUGUUGAGGAACGCCUUGGGACACCCAUUUCAGACAGCGCUAUAGCUUUGAGACUCACUGUCCUCCCAAAGUGAUCUGGGCAGAAGAGAACAAUGGAUUUAAAAGCAUCUGGACAAAUACAUAAUAAGGAGAAAUAGACCUCCACGUCAAGGAUAACAUCAGUGAAUACGCCAGAUCCUCUAUCUGAGGCCCUGCUGGUCCAGAAUCCUGGAAAACAGGACCCUUGGUCUGGGGUGGGGUGAGGAGUGCAUACACCCAGGAUAUAGUGGAGUCGGUUCUGAGAGCUCUUUACCACGGACUAGAAGCUUAGGCUUGAGUGAGAGUACCGCAUUUAUGGUGAGCCGAUGUAGGUAACGUCCUAAUUUGGAAGCCCUCAAGACAGUAUAUUCAAGAGACAUCGACAGGCAGCCUGCCAUGUGGGGUUAUUAGAAUCUCUAAAAUCCACAUCAUGGAAACCAUCAAGCAGGGAAGUCAUUCAGCAAAGAGGGAAAUAUGGCCAGAGAAGUCAGGUCAGAUUUGACCAAGAACUCCCAAACCACGAAUUCACUCAGCAAUAUGACAAUAUAUUUACUGCUUUCAGAUUUCUACAACUGGUCAUUUCUUCCACUUGACAAAUAAUCGGUCACUGCCGACUAUACAUGUACCUGAUGUUGGCGGGGGGGCGGGUUAUACAAAGAAGCAUAAGACAAAGUCCUCAAGAAACACUUGAUAUCGUCAAAGAAGGAUAUACAGAGGGGAAAGAACACACAAUUUUGUGUUAGACUGGGAUCCAAAGACGGCUUUGGCAAUCUCUCUCAUCCCAUGCGCACUGUUGCAACGUGACCUUGACAGUCCCCAUCAAGAAGUGAAAUCUACUUCUCCUCCUUUAGAAUCUGAGCUGGCCUAUGGCCCGCUUUGGCCAACAGAAUGCGGGAGAAGCAACCCUGUGUAACUCUGGAGGCAAGGCCUUAAGAGCUUCUGCCUUCACUGCUUGGAAUGCUCCCUCUUGAAAGCCAGCUGCCAAAUAAAACGGCCAACAUGCUAUGAGGAAAUCCAAGCUACCCAGUGGAGAGAAUCGCCACAUGGAGGACCACCAAGGGCACCAGCCAUGUGAGUGAAGCUUUCUAGGACCUUCCAGCCCAGUCCAGCCACAGCUGAAUGAAGCCGAGUGAUCCAGUCAACACCACAUGCAACAGAAGAACAACCCAGCCAAGCCCUGCCUGAAUUCCUGAUCCAGAAUCAUGAGCAAAUUAAACAAUGUUGUUUUAAGUCACUGAGUUUGGAGGUAGUUUAUGAAGCAGCAAUAGGGAACUGAAACCAAACUGAGGCAAGAAACUCGGGAGGAGUCCUGAGUCUGCUCUUAUCUAGCUGUGUGACCUUGGGUCAAUGACUUCCCCUCUGGACCUCAAUUUCCUCAUCUGUAAAAUCAAGUGAGCUACGGUGCUUUCCAGUUCUGACAGUCUGUACCACACACGCAGGUAUCAGCGAAUGGGCCAGGCAGUGAGUGCUAUGAAUACAGAGGAAGAACCACUUCAGGAUCAGGGAAAAGAACCAUGACCAGGAUUAAAUGGGGCUGCACCUGGAACAAUACAUGGCUCAUAAUAAGUGUUCACUAAAUAUCAGCUAUAAUCAUUAUCUUCUCAUCUUAUCACUUCUGAGACUCUGGACAAGUUAAUCUCUCUGCUCCCCAAUUUUGUCAUCUGAAAAAUGGAGACAACGCUAAUGUUCCUGCUUCCAUACAAGGAAAAUCCUUCAUAUGUGCAAGUCCCAUGCAAAUCAAAAAUCACCUACAGGGGCCGGCCCGGUGGUGCAGCAGUUAAGUGCACACGUUCCGCUUUGCCAGGUGCGGACAUGGCACUGCUUGGCAAGCCACGCUGUGGCAGGCGUCCCAUAUACAAAGUAGAGGAAGAUGGGCACGGAUAUUAGCUCAGGGCCAGUCUUCCUCAGAAAAAAGAGGAGGAUUGGCAGCAGUUAGCUCAGGGCUAAUCUUCCUCAAAAAAAGAAAAUCACCUACAAAUAGAAGGCAUCAUCACCAUGUUAUUAAUAUUCUUACUGUCCUUUGCAUCAUCAUCAUUGGAAGUCUCCUUCUCAUCCAGGAGUAGAGACAGUCAGUUGAUGGCACUAGCCAGCAGGAAGGCAUUCUGGCAGAGGGAGAGGCAGGUACACAGAGCACACAAGCUUUCAAGCCAAGUGAGAUUUUACCACCCACCUAACAGCAACCAUCAGUGAGCCGGUCCCCUUGCUGAACUUGGACAGUGGGUAUCUCUUAGGAGCAGCUCCCAGCCCAAGGGGAUAUCUGAAACAGCCCAGCAUUAAAAGUUUGAAUAAUUUCCUGCAUCAGAGUCCAAGAGGCCAGCAACCUGAGGGUGCCCCACCGGUGAGCCAAGAAUCAGACCACUGCCCAACACAGAUGAAACUCCAUAAAAAUUAUUAAAUGAGCACUGGAUUUGGGAGCCUGAAGUCAAAGCUCCCAGCUUUAACCCUGGCUUUGCUAUACACAGCUGUGUGCACUAA
rnacentral:lncRNA from 1 species